ensembl:lncRNA
GGCCUCCCCUAGACCCUCCCUUCAGUCUGCGCUCAGCCCCACGUCCCCACACGACGCACUGGACGCUGCGUUGAGUUUUGGGUCACCUGUCGCUGCAGUUGGACGAUGGAUUUUCUCGGGGGCACGCGGGUCUCCGACGGGGCACCAGUCAGGUGCGUGCUGGCUGGAGAGCUCUCGGCCAUCAAGCCUGCCGUGUGGUCUGAGAGGCGGUCACCAGGGUGCUGGGAGGAUCCGGGCAGAAGUAGCUGCUUCUCCAGGCUGCCAUUUCCAGGGCGUCGGAGUCCCGGUCCCGCCUCCUGCCCAGGACGCCCUCCGCGAGCCCGUGGCCUGUGGGGGCCGGUCCUUCGCUGCAGCUGCCGGGCAGCUGAAGAGGGCGUGGAGGGCGGAAGCACGGGCAACGGUUGUUUCCUGCGGAGAAGGGCAGGGGACACGGAGCGGCGCCUGGACUCUGGGCCUGCGGCCUCUCCGGAGGGCUGCGCACCCCUGAGCCUGCCCUGGGCGCGCCGGCUGUCGGGGGACCCUUCUGCACAAGGUUCAGAGGGCUCAUCUUGAACAAGACUGUCACCAAGCAGCAGUGCAAAGGUCAUUAAUGAAGAUGCCAAAUGAAACUCAAUCAAUCCAUCAAUCCCUGUGCCACCCCAGCAGCAAACUAGCAUGUGGGAUCUGAGUUCCCUGAUCAAGGAUCAAACCUGUACCCCCUGCAUUGGAAGGUGAAGUCUUAACCACUGGACUGCCAGGAUCAUAGAAAAGCCAAUCACCAAGGAGUUGGAUGCUGAAUGUGAUAGAGGAAAGUUUUUCCAGAUGAAGUCCAACUCUAGCUCUCAGAUCUGAUCAUCUUCUGCCCUCAAUAAGUAAUAUCAAUGGGUCAGAGCAUCAUGAAUGUUCCCCUUGGGUCAUGCUUUUGCUCCACACUGCUUUAUAGAUCAACUGGCUUUCCAAGUCCAAUGGGAAGCAGAGAAGCAGAGCAGAGACAGAGAGAACGGCAAACUGUGUAACAACCCCAUUCAUAGGCUGGUCUUUAUUUCUGGUAGAAACUCAGAGUGAAAUAGGCUUCCCUCCUCCUUUUUAUUUUAAAUUACAUUUCACUAUAUAUAAACAGCACUGAAUAAAUU